rnacentral:rRNA from 1 species
UAGGGAAUCUUCGGCAAUGGGGGGAACCCUGACCGAGCAACGCCGCGUGAGUGAAGAAGGUUUUCGGAUCGUAAAGCUCUGUUGUUAAGGAAGAACGAGUGUGAGAAUGGAAAGUUCAUACUGUGACGGUACUUAACCAGAAAGGGACGGCUAACUACGUGCCAGCAGCCGCGGUAAUACGUAGGUCCCGAGCGUUGUCCGGAUUUAUUCGGCGUAAAGCGAGCGUCGGAGGUUAGAUAAGUCUGAAGUUAAAGGCAGUGACUCAACCAUUGUAGGGAUUGGAAACUGAUUAACUUGAGUGGAGAAGGGGAGAGAGGAAUUCCAUGUGUAGGGGUGAAAUGCGUAGAUAUAUGGAGGAACACCGGUGGCGAAGGCGGCUCUCUGGUCAGUAACUGACGCUGAGGCUCGAAAGCGUGGGGAGCGAACAGG